GUGGGGAAUAUUGGACAAUGGGCGAAAGCCUGAUCCAGCCAUGCCGCGUGUGUGAAGAAGGUCUUCGGAUUGUAAAGCACUUUAAGUUGGGAGGAAGGGCAGUAAGUUAAUACCUUGCUGUUUUGACGUUACCGACAGAAUAAGCACCGGCUAACUUCGUGCCAGCAGCCGCGGUAAUACGAAGGGUGAAAGCGUUAAUCGGAAUUACUGGGCGUAAAGCGCGCGUAGGUGGUUUUGUAAGUUGGAGGUGAAAUCCCCGGGCUCAACCUGGGAACUGCCUCCAAAACUGCAUGACUAGAGUACGGUAGAGGGUAGUGGAAUUUCCUGUGUAGCGGUGAAAUGCGUAGAUAUAGGAAGGAACACCAGUGGCGAAGGCGACUACCUGGACUGAUACUGACACUGAGGUGCGAAAGCGUGGGGAGCAAACAGGAUUAGAAACCCCAGUAGUCC
rnacentral:rRNA from 1 species